GAAUGCAAGAGCAAUGCUAAUCCAAGAGGUCAUUCAUGGUUGCAACUAAAAUGAAUGAUUUGGCUGGUGAUGGUACAACUACUGCAAUUGUUUUGGCUCAAGCAAUGAUCAAAUCUGGGAUGCUGGCAGUUGCUUUUGGGGCUAACCCAGUUUCUUUGAAGAAAGGAAUGGAUAAGACUGUGAACAAAUUGGUCAAGGUCUUGAAGAAGAAAAGUGUGCUAGUAAGAGGAAGAAAUGACAUAAACGGUAUUUAGAGCAUGUCCUGUGAGUUACCAUCAAAAGCAAAAGUGAAAAACGCUUCAAGUUUUGGCCUCGUCCCCUCCAGCUGCUCCAUUAGAAGCACCCUCAGGAUCAGCAAUAUCGUCCUUUGGAGCAUUCUCUUCGGGAGAAGCAGUAGCUUGGGUGGCCUCGUCAACCUCCACCUCCUUGUCCACUUCCUCAAAGUCCAAAUCCUCCAAGUUUACUCCUGAGGGAUGCUUGACCAAAUACGGCCUGAGGAGCUUGAAGCCUUUGUAAUACCAACUAAAGAGCAUGGUGUUGUACUCUUCAGUCAAUUGAAAAGCUUGAACAGCCUUGGCAGCCAUGGAUUUAACCUUCUGGUUCGCAACCUGAAACUAUUUUCUUCUUUCACCAUCAGCUACUUCUCGACCUUAAGCUUGUUAGCCAAAGCCUUGGCCUUCUCCUUGGGCUAAGUUGGCUUUGUCCAUGGCAGUAAUGAGAUCCCUCCUCAACUUCGUGUUCUUAGCCUCCAGAGCCUCUACCUUGGACCCUACCACCAUUGCCUUCUCCUCAUGACUCAGGUACUUAGAAGUUAUGUGGUUUGUCUCUCGCAGCACUUGAAAAUCAUAAGAAGUGAAGAGUUAUAAGCAUCAAAAACCAUCCCAAUUCAUGAGUUACACAACCAAAUGAAAAGAAGCCUCACCUGGACGAGCUUAUGAAUAUAGCGGUUCACAACCUUGUGAAAAGGGACGCUAGAAAGCACCUUGAGGUCCUCGACAGUGACAGCAGAAUGGGCCCUCACCAAGGCAAGGCCAACAUCAUCCCAAAUGCUGGACGUCUGGGAGGCUACCUUCUCCUUCCCUUUUACCAACGUCCUCUACCUCUUUGGAUGAGGACUAAGCUCUUCCAAUAAAGUAGUAGGGGAGACCAUCUUCGUGGCCUCGGGGACGGAGGUGGCUGGAGUAAUCGGGGUCCCCUUCUCAACAACCUGCACCACCUUCUUCCCCAGGCUGGAAAGAGGCUCAUUCUUAGAAGGAGGGCUUCGGACCAAGGAAAUGGCGAGCUAAAGUUUGAGGAUCGACAAGGUCGUCAAAAUCGUCGAUUGUUUUCGCAUACUCAGUGGCCACCUGGACACACUCCUUGUAUCUACUCUUAAGCUUAGGGCGCUCCUUAACUGCAAAUACACAACAAGCAAAGGUUAAUGACGAAUCAAAUUGAAAAGAGAAAGAACUGUUAAGAAAUAAGCAAAGGACGACGCACCUAGCCUUAGGGACCACCACCGACGAAGCAAUCUAAGAACCUUACCCUAUAAGUCUUUAGAAAGAGUCUCCCAUCCAUCCCUAGACACGAAGAAGUAUCUGGAUUUCCAAUACCAAAAAGACAAAGGAAGAUCCAUGAUAAUCUUCGCCUUCUUAACCUAGGGCACAAGCCUGUAGUAUCUAUACUCCUUAGACUCCUUCAAACGAUAUAGGUGAAAAAAGUCGUCUAACUUGAUCAUGUUACCUUCAGUGAUGACCAUCCAAAUCUCCAUACAACUAAUCACUAUCCUCCAUGAGUUUGACAUAAGUUGCCCUGGAGCAAUGUUGAAGUGGUUCAAGAGUUCCAUGAUGAACGGAUGGACGAAGAAUCUGAGGCCACACUGGAAAGCAACAUCAUAGAAUCACACUUCCCUAGGCGAAAAAGUAUAAGCCUUUUCCCCUUCAUGAGGAAGUCGAAUCCUGACCUCCUCAAGGAAUUGAAAUCUAUCCCUAAACCUAAAAAGGGUAUCAGCGUCUAAGGCACACUCCUCCUUAAGGGCGUGGAAAGGCCUAUUCUCCCUUUGUCUAGACGAUGAAGGGCCAAACGUAGCGGUAUCUCCCUCCGCCUCGAUGGGGUAAUCACUAGAUGACAACCCCAUCUCAAGCUCACUAGACCUCACCUCAGAUACCCCUUCUCUUUCACCUACCAUCUCCCUAAACCAAUUCAAAGACUGAUGUAGCAAAGGAUACAAAUCAGCUAACAUAAAACCUAAACCACUAUUCCUAGACACAAAACCUUCAAUUGGGGGGCAACGAGCACUAGAAGAACCCAAAGAUGCUCCUAAGCAAGCAAAAAAGAAAGAAACAUAUGGAUAAAGCUUUCUAAUCUUAGAAUUUUGGACCAUGAAAUUAGUACAGAGUCUUAAGUUGAAAAAGAAAGGUAGAAAAAACUUCGCUGUAAAAAGGAAAGGUAAAAGAAAGAGAAAUCAUACCUCCGAAAUGGAAAAACCAAGGUUAGAAACGAAAAAGUUGCUAAAAGUUCAAGGAGCUUGGAGAGGAAGAGUUCAGAGCAACAACGGCGAGAGAGAGAAAGAGAAAAAGUAGAGAAGGAGAGGAACAACUAAGUAGUUUAAAAGCUAGCCUUGGAAAACUGAAAAUCUGCAGGAAACCCAAAAGUCCCUCGAAUAAAACGUUACUAUCCACCACUCAGAGUGCGCCACGUGGCCACGACACGUAUGGUGCUACCACUCUGCAUUAAAUGUAGACACAACAAAAAUCUCAAGAGUCACAUCUGAACAAAUAACAUUUCAUAUUCUCAAGAUCGUCAUCACACGCAAGGACGAUCUCAGAAUAGGGGGGCUACUGAUAGAUCGAGUAAUUACUCUCGUCUUGAAGAGCCAGCCUGGAUGAGGAUAGAGCGCCAUAAAAACAUCUAUUCAAUGCCCCGACGGUUUCAUAUCAAUGAUGAGACUGUUGGAACCUCCAUUAAGGCUAAAUUAAGUAGGCCUGAGGCAUUACCAAAAAGCUUUCAAGUCACCAUUUAAGAAGGACAACGGCUAGUAAGAAGAGUCUAUUUAUAAGACCUACCAAGUCCCAGACAAGGUAGAUACACACUAAUCAUUUUUUACUCUUGUUACCAAAUUCUCUCUAUUUUUUUAGCUCCAUUUGUUGACUUUAUCAUUGGAGACUCCAUGGCCAACACCACACCGAUGACCACCUAAGAGGAUUUCCCUUUUUCACUCACCCCGUAGGAACUUGGUUGAGCUCAUAUUAGAAACCCUCUGGACGAACCCAACUAUUGACGAUCUUAGCAUCAUCAAUAUAUAUAAAAUAUAUUUAUAUUAGAAAAAAAAUUGGGGGCAUUGCCUUUAAAGUCAAUGACUAGCUACGUCCCUGGUCUCAACAUUUGUAUUUAUCGUUUACUUGAAUAUUACUGCAAACGUGAAAUUAUAGCUUGAGUUAUUUUGUAUCGUGGAACCUAUUAUCGUCUCUAUGUCUUUGUGUAGCCACGCAAAAGACA